UGAUACACCAUCCAAAGUGUAAUUAAUAACUUCACCAUGCUCAAAGCUAUAUUCAAUGUCUGCUUUUUUAUUUUUACCCAUCAACCAAUAGAUGCCCAUCUUUGCAAAGCAUAGGAAAAACCUCCCUGGUCCUUGUGGUUGAAUCUGUGUUUUAAAUUCACUGCUCGACUGAGGGACCUUACAGAUAAUUGCAUGUGGGGUACAGAGAUGAGGUAGUCAUUCAAAAAUCAUGUUAAACACUAUUAUUGCACAUAGAGUGAGUCUAUGCAACUUAUGUGAUUUCAGCAAAUGUUUACUCCUGACCUUAUUUAGGCUUGCCAUAACCAACCGGUUAAAUACUUAUGGACCAAAACAGACUGAAGUUUCAGGCGGUCUUUUCAAAGAGCUUUUACACUAAAAGGGCAUUGUCAUCAUUUUCAAAAUGUCAUAGUAUUAUUCCAUCCUCAUAGUGUGUAAUUAAAUCAUCUUGAAUAAAUUAAUGUGACAUUUUUUAUUUCAGAAUCUAGACAUAGUCCUAAUUUUAGAGCACACUAUAAGUAUAAGGAGUAUAAUGACGCUUUUAUAUUGUCUGUAUCAUGUACGGUUCACGGAUAAUACGGUCUUACAUUAGGCAUAUGUAAGACUAAAACGGGCCUAAAAUGUCCACUUUAUCACGAUUUUUCUCAUUUUCUUUUUGUGAUAAAAAUGUAAAAAGCAUAUCAAACAUUGUUCCUCCCAAUUAAGUUUCUAUGUAAGAAUUGGCCAAAAUAUUUUUUGCUGGCAUGGAAUCGCCCUUGUAUUUAUUUAACACAUAUUCAUCUUUUCAUUUCCAGUGCAGUGAAAAGCAUGACAAACAGCAGCCUGCACUUCAAAAGCAUAGAUGGGCUCAGCCAUCAGCAUGAAGGUGCAGAUCAGCAUCUCCCAGUGGUGCAGCUCACAUGAAGUGAACCCCCCCCUCUCCCAUUCCUCCUGACACUCUACCCCAUCCACUUCCUCCUGACUUCUGAAAGACAGUCCAAGCAGUUGAAGACCAGGAGUGCUAAAGGAGGGAUGAGAGAAGCACAACUCUGGGAUAUGAUGAUGACGUUGUGGAAUUGCACAGCUCCCUCUGAAAGGGAGCUGUGGAAUCAGGGGGUCAUCCACCCUCCAUUACAAUGGUGCACUGCCUCCCACCUGAACUAGGCAUUCACUGGAAUGGAAAGUCAACAGCUUGCCUUGCCAGGACCUGCCUUAAGACACGUCAGUAAUGCACUUCUGUCAAAUACGCCAUUGUGUAUCAAUCAGUUGAAGGGACUCUGAAAGCAGUGACUUUUGCCUCUGCUGCAAAUUAACUGGAGUAUAUUUGUAGAAAUCUGAAUGAAUUUGUCCUUUCUAGGGUCACGCAAAGCUCUAUUUGGUACAAGCUGUUAUUGUUUAGCAGUUGGUCUGAGCGGAUGUAAUGUCUGAUAAAUUAAUCUGCUUUAGCUAAAUGAAAAGUGCUUUCACAUGAUGUUAUGUGGGGUGACUACAGUGUUUAUAAUACUACCAAAUAUAUAUUCCAGACUUGGAAUUGUUUCAACUCUCUACCCAAGGCUUUUACUUGCGACAUAUAGUUAAAUGCACUAAAGAGUAACAAUGGGUACAUAUUGAAGAUGUGCAUGCUCAUCCCCAGAAUGUUUUUACGUGUCUAUUUUCAAAGGAUAAAGAUAAGAACAUUAAUAACUUCAUAGUUAAGAACACUAUAACAUGGAAGAAAAUGUACGUUUUCUACAAGAACCAAUAUCACUUCCUAAAAGCACAACCUUAUGGAACAAUCCUUGGAUCGCUUUUCAGAAUUCACUGCUAAAUUGGUUCACAUGGAAAACUAAAUGCAUAGAAACCGUAAAUUACUUGGUAACAGAAAAUACAUUUAUUUCCAUGACCGAAUUAAAAAGUAAUUUUGGACUGACCAAUGUAGAUAGUUUCAAAUACAUGCAACUUAAAAGUUACAUAUCACAAAAUGUUGCUUUUAAAUCAUUUAGACCUCAGAGCAACCUUGAGGGAAUCUUAUUUGAGUCAGAAAAGGAAGUUCAUAUGAUAGGGAUAUACAAACGCUUGCAGAGAGCAUAUCCCACUGACAAGCACUUAGAAGAAAAAAAAACUGUUGGAACCAAGAUUUAAGAACUGAUGUUGGCACAAGAUGGAGGGAAAGUUGGAGCAUAACUAAAGAAAUUACAAUUAAUGAAAAUGGAAGCUAAUGUAUUGAAUUUAUUAUACAAGAGACAAAAGUUCACAAAUUCUACAGCACAAGGUAGGGUCAUGUCUUAAGUCUAAAACAAAUAAUGAAUCAAUAAUCCAUGCUUUCUGGGAACGCUAUGAAGUCCGGAAGUUGUGGGUGGAGCUAGAAAUGUGGCUGUCAGAAGUAUUACAAUGUAAAUGUACUUUUAAUCAAUCUGUUUGCAUAUUUCAAGACAUAGCAUGUGGGGGUAUAGUGAUACCCGAUUUGUUGGACGAUUCUCUUCUCAUUUUGAAAAAACAUGUACUAAAAACAUAGAAAUCAAUCCACCAUCAUUAGCACAACAGAAAAAUAUAAUGAUUUAUUAUUUAAAUAAUCAAAAGUGUGCGGGCAAGAAACAAAAUGGUGCAGUUUCAGGCCGUGUUGCGGAAAGUGAUGCAGAUGCUGGAGAUGGGGGUUUGUGCUAGUGGGUCUGGGAAGGUGUGAUGUAGUUAAUGUUUGUAUGAUGUUUGUAUGUGUAUGUAUUGUUUCGAAAAUAUCAAAUUAAAUCUUACAACAGCAACAACAACAAAAAAUACUACCAAAUAUGUUGCAGUUUGUUACUCAUGAUAUAGCCAAUGAGUUUGUGGUGCCACUUGUAAAACAUUUCAUUCAAAGAGUUCAUUAUGGCCCUUACUGUUUACAUUUUUGGUCAGUCUUACCUGCUAAGUAUACUGAAACCCCAAGGCAAAAUAAUCCAAUGGCCACAUGUCGGACAUGUUGGCUAUGGAAUAGGAACCAGUCUGCUCUAUGGGAGGAAAUGAAGAAAAUGCAAGCAGUGACAAUGAUGACAUGAUCAUAUGUUGAUGGGUAUUGUUCAAUUAGUUCACAAUUAUUUAUUUGCACCAAAAUAAAUAAAUAAUUUCAAGGUUCAAAUUAGUUGGUUAAUAGAAUGCUUUGUCAUUACUUGCACUGGAGUGCACAGAGGCUAGAUCUAUAUGAAAGUCAUAAAAAGCACAGACACAAUUCUAACCCAACGCGGGAAAGAACUAGGCCACUGAGGUCAUAGGCUGUGCACUGCGUGUACAACGAGGGAACGCUAUUGUUUUGUCGAACGCAUACUGAGUUCAGAGAUGGGAGUGGGGUCGGUCAAGCAGCCUCUGUCUACACCUGGUACACACGGAAA